rnacentral:rRNA from 1 species
AUUGAACGCUGGCGGCAGGCCUAACACAUGCGAGUCGAACGGUAACAGGGUGCUUGCACCGCUGACGAGUGGCGAACGGGUGAGUAAUGCGUCGGAACGUGCCGAGUAGUGGGGGAUAACGCAGCGAAAGUUGUGCUAAUACCGCAUACGUACUGAGGUAGAAAGUGGGGGACCUUCGGGCCUCACGCUAUUCGAGCGGCCGACGUCUGAUUAGCUAGUAGGUGAGGUAAAGGCUCACCUAGGCGACGAUCAGUAGCGGGUGUGAGAGGAUGGUCCGCCACACUGGGACUAAGACACGGCCCAGACUCCUACGGGAGUCAGCAGUGGGGAAGUUUGGACAAUGGGCGAAAGCCUGAUCCAGCCAUGCCGCGUGUCUGAAGAAGGCCUUCGGGUUGUAAAGGACUUUUGUCGGGGAGGAAAUCCCCAGCGUUAAUACCGCUGGGGGAUGACAGUACCUGAAGAAUAAGCACCGGCUAACUACGUGCCAGCCGCCGCGGUAACAC